GAUGAACGCUGGCGGCGUGCCUAAUACAUGCAAGUCGAGCGAACGGACGAGAAGCUUGCUUUUCUGAUGUUAGCGGCGGACGGGUGAGUAACACGUGGAUAACCUACCUAUAAGACUGGGAUAACUUCGGGAAACCGGAGCUAAUACCGGAUAAUAUUUUGAACCGCAUGGUUCAAAAGUGAAAGACGGUCUUGCUGUCACUUAUAGAUGGAUCCGCGCUGCAUUAGCUAGUUGGUAAGGUAACGGCUUACCAAGGCAACGAUGCAUAGCCGACCUGAGAGGGUGAUCGGCCACACUGGAACUGAGACACGGUCCAGACUCCUACGGGAGGCAGCAGUAGGGAAUCUUCCGCAAUGGGCGAAAGCCUGACGGAGCAACGCCGCGUGAGUGAUGAAGGUCUUCGGAUCGUAAAACUCUGUUAUUAGGGAAGAACAUAUGUGUAAGUAACUGUGCACAUCUUGACGGUACCUAAUCAGAAAGUCACGGCUAACUACGUG
rnacentral:rRNA from 1 species